UACAGAGGGUGCGAGCGUUGUCCGGAAUCACUGGGCGUAAAGGGCGCGUAGGCGGCCUGAUAAGUAGGGGGUGAAAUCCUGUGGCUUAACUGCAGGGCUGCCUCCUAGACUGUUAGGCUCGAGCACGGUAGAGGCAGAUGGAAUUCCCGGUGUAGCGGUGGAAUGCGUAGAGAUCGGGAAGAACAUCGGUGGCGAAGGCGGUCUGCUGGGCCGUUGCUGACGCUGAGGCGCGAAAGCGUGGGGAGCAAACCGG
rnacentral:rRNA from 1 species